GGAAUCUUCCACAAUGGACGAAAGUCUGAUGGAGCAACGCCGCGUGAGUGAAGAAGGUUUUCGGAUCGUAAAACUCUGUUGUUGGAGAAGAACACGUUUGAGAGUAACUGUUCAGACGUUGACGGUAUCCAACCAGAAAGCCACGGCUAACUACGUGCCAGCAGCCGCGGUAAUACGGAGGAUGCAAGGGUUAUCCGGAUUUAUUGGGUUUAAAGGGUGCGUAGGCUGUUCGGAAAGUCAGGGGUGAAAGCCCGGCGCCUAACGCCGGAACUGCCUUUGAGACUUCCGAGCUGGAAUACGGAUGCCGUGGGAGGAAGGAGUAGUGUAGCGGUGAAAUGCAUAGAGAUUACGAAGAACACCGAUUGCGAAGGCAUCUCACGAAUCCGUCAUUGACGCUGAGGCACGAAAGCGUGGGGAUCAAACA
rnacentral:rRNA from 1 species